UACGUAGGGGGCGAGCGUUAUCCGGAAUUAUUGGGCGUAAAGAGUACGUAGGUGGUUACCUAAGCGCAAGGUGAAAGACCGCGGCUUAACUGCGGCGAGCCUUGUGAACUGGGCGACUUGAGUGCAGGAGGGGAAAGUGGAAUUCCUAGUGUAGCGGUGAAAUGCGUAGAUAUUAGGAGGAACACCGGUGGCGAAGGCGACUUUCUGGACUGUAACUGACACUGAGGUACGAAAGCGUGGGGAGCAAACA
rnacentral:rRNA from 1 species